AAAUUCAGAAUCUUUGAGUGGAGCUCAGGAGUGUACGUUUCAGUCAGCUCCUCGAUGAUGUCUGUUGUACACUGCCUGCUCUGCUGUUUCAGGAAUCUAUAAAAUGGACUCAAGUACCAUUUAAAUUAUCAGGAGGAACUUACCACAAGGGCCUGAUGGAUCCUGGACCAAAAUGAAAUAACAUGUGGAAUCUUAUUCCCAGGAGAACCACAGUCAUCAAGUGAGCAUGGACGAAGUAGAAUCAUCAGGGUAUGACGAUCCGCACGCACAUCUGUCGUAACGUGCAUAGGGAAUGGAAGACAGAGAUCUCAUGUUCACGUCUUUAUUCCCCGCUCCUUGUGUGGUGCCUGGCGCACAGUAGGCCCUCAGGAAACAGUUGAUGACUCUGAAGGAAUUGCCGUUGAAGCUGGAGACUUUAAUCCCAGGCUUGUUCCUUAUCAGAUUUCAUUUUAGGAUUGAAGAAGCCAAGACCCAAGAGAUUAGCCAACCUGCUCACAGUCACGGUGUGGGAUGGCAGCAGCUAAACAAGAAACAAAUUCCCUGAACAUCUCGGCCCCCAUGCUUUCUCCUUUUUUUUUUUUUUUUUUUUGAGGAAGAUCAGCCCUGAGUUAACACCUGCCACCAAUCCUCCUCUUUUUGCUGAGCGAGACUGGCCCUGAGCUAAUAUCCGUGCCCAUCUUCCUCUACUUUAUAUGUGGGACGCCUACAACAGCAUGGUUUACCAAGUGGUGCCAUGUCCGCACCCGGCAUCUGAACCGGCGAACCCCAGGCUGCUGAAGCAGAACAUGCGCACUUAACUGCUGCACCACCAGGCCAACCCCUUUUCUCCCUUUAAAGCUGCCUUCCACUUCGCUGUCCAUAGGGAGGAGUACAGAUGGUGGUCGGGAGGAUGUGAACAUGGCGAUGAUGCUAGCUUUUGUCCUGCUGCUUCCAGCCUUCUCCCGGACAGGGAAACAGCCUGUGGACUAUGAGAGUUGGGAUGACAGGAGCAGCAUAAUCUCAGAGCAACCCCUGAGCAGACAUUGCUAAGCCAUUCAGUGCCUUCAUGAGACUUGGAAGAGAUGCCCGUUCUGGAUAAACGGAUCCUGUGCCAGGCCUGCAUUUUAGCCUUAACUUGCCCCUUUGGCUGUGUGCUCUUUUCAGAGAAUAAGGUACACAAUCAUACGCAGCUGCCCUGCUGAUGGGAAUCCUAAUAUCGGCUUCAGAAGGAGACUCGCCAUCACAAACCUUGCCAUUUACCUUUCUCUUCUUCCCUCUGCUCUUUUCAGCGACCCCUUAAAGGACGUAUCUACUAAAAACAUCCAGAGAGCUUGCCCAGCUGCCGAUCUGGGACUUUUGGUAGAACCCCACCAGGCCACUCAAUCCACGCAAGAAAUUGAAACAAGCAGCAGAGAUUGGGGGAAAUGUGCUGAAGGUGGCAGUCAAGUGGGGUCCAUUGAGGCACCACUUCUGCUGAUGUCUUCUACCAUCUUCCUGGAGUCUUCUGCCGUCUUCCUGGCCAAACUUGGAGCACUCCCAACCCUCCUCUGAGCUAGGAGUCAUUAAGCUGUUUUGGCUAGAUCCUCCAUGGACAUGUAGCAGAGUAUUUAUAUCCCACCUGCUUUUUUUCCCUAAUGUCAACAACUCAACUGACUUUGGUGUUUUCUUUGCUGCAUUAGAAGAAGUCAGUUUCUCUUAUGGACAGGAAGGUGACCUUCUCUUGAAUAAAAUACAUUUUUCCUACUAGCAACUGUACUUCUGAAGACCAAACCCUCCCUGCUGUGUGUGUGUCUGUGUGUGUGUGUGUACACUCACGUGUAUGUGUGCAUGCAUGCUAAUUAUUUAGGAUGAUAUUAAAAUUGCACUGAGGGGUCUUAUGAAAGAGGAGAAUAAAAUAAAACUUUUUGGUGGAAGACAAUACAUGUAUGUUCUGCAAUUGAGGAGAGACCGGGAAAGAAGGGAAAAGAGGGGGAUCUGGCACCAGGAGUGUAGUUAGAGCAAAACAGCAAAACCUCGGAUGCCAGGCAAUGGGGCAGAGAGGACUACUAUGUGGGUACUGCUUGAGUUUCUAGGAGGUAGACUGGAUCAGGAUCUUUGUCAGGGGACAAAGUACCUGAUAAUUUCUUCACAUCAUGUGAAUGAUGAUAGGGGCCACCUCAUCUACCCCUAGAGCUUUCAUCAGACAAAAGUCCAGUGACUCGCCCAGGCUACAAGUCUUUCCUCUACCACCAUCUAGAUGCCCCAUGAGGCCAUCUCUCUGCAGAAGUCCCAGGUCAACUGUCAUGAUGGAAAGGGAUCCUGAGUAAGAAGCAAGGAGAUGAGGAGGAAUUGACGUACUUGUGUGAAGGACUUAAGCUGAGCAAGCAAAGGUCCAGGAAGUUAAACCUAUGAGCCUUGAUUUCUCAAGUAGGAAACCUCCUCAAAGUUCAUUGGAUUAUUUUUGGUGAGAACAAAUCCACUUGUAAAGACAUGAAAGGAGCUUGCAGUUUCGAACAACUCAACUGUAGAUUAUUCUAUGAAAUAAAGACUCCUUUGAUCAUGAGCCAAAUUUGUCCCAUGAUUUAACGUAAAUAAAACUGUAUAAAAAUGUAAACCUCUUGGAAAGUGAAUUUUCCUAAACUUAACUAGAAAUGCAGCCACCGCUUACCUCUUCCCUUAGAGUAGAAGCAAUAGACAAGGAGGAUAAGGAGGAUGGAAGUGUGUCACCAAGAGCCUCUCAUUUUCUCUCCUCUACCCUCAUUCAAGCUGGAAUGUACAGUCAUCUACCACACGAUGAUGUUUUGGUCAGUGACGGACCACAUAUACCACAGUGGUCCCAUAAGAUUAGUACCACAUAGCCUAGGUGUGUUGUAGGCUACACCAUCUAGGUCUGUGUAAGCACAUCUAUGAUGUUCACACAAUGAUGAAACUGCCUAAUGAUGC
rnacentral:lncRNA from 1 species